GGAGAGGUGCCCGAGCGGCUGAAGGGGCCGGUUUCGAAAACCGGUGAGCGCCUUUGGGUGCUCCGUGGGUUCGAAUCCCACCCUCUCCG
rnacentral:tRNA from 1 species